AUUUAAAUAAUUUAAGAAAAAUAUUGAUUUGUGGAGUCAAAAAUAUGAGUAGUCAUUUUAAGUU
rnacentral:tRNA from 1 species